GACGAACGCUGGCGGCGUGCUUAACACAUGCAAGUCGAACGCUGAAGCUUGGUGCUUGCACUGGGGGGAUGAGUGGCGCACGGGUGAGUAAUACGUGAGUAACCUGCCCUUGACUCUGGGAUAAGCCUGGGCAACUGGGUCUAAUACUGGAUACGACAUGUCACCGCAUGGUGGUCUGUGGCAAGGGUUUUACUGGUUUUGGAUGGGCUCACGGCCUAUCAGCUUGUUGGUGGGGUAAUGGCUCACCAAGGCGACGACGGGUAGCCCGCCUGAGAGGGUGACCGGCCACACUGGGACUGCGACACGGCCCAGACUCCUACGGGAGGCAGCAGUGGGGAAUAUUGCACAAUGGGCGGAAGCCUGAUGCAGCGACGCCGCGUGAGGGAUGACGGCCUUCGGGUUGUAACCCUCUUUCAGCACGGAAGAAGCGAAAGUGACGGUACGUGCAGAAGAAGCGCCGGCUAACUACGUG
rnacentral:rRNA from 1 species